CCUCGGGUGGCAGCAGUGGGGAAUAUUGGACAAUGGGCGAAAGCCUGAUCCAGCCAUGCCGCGUGUGUGAAGAAGGCCUUCGGGUUGUAAAGCACUUUCAGUGGGGAAGAAAGCCUUGGGGCUAAUACCCUCGAGGAAGGACAUCACCCACAGAAGAAGCACCGGCUAACUCCGUGCCAGCAGCCGCGGUAAUACGGAGGGUGCGAGCGUUAAUCGGAAUUACUGGGCGUAAAGCGCGCGUAGGCGGUCUGAUAAGCCGGUUGUGAAAGCCCCGGGCUCAACCUGGGAACGGCAUCCGGAACUGUCAGGCUAGAGUGCAGGAGAGGAAGGUAGAAUUCCCGGUGUAGCGGUGAAAUGCGUAGAGAUCGGGAGGAAUACCAGUGGCGAAGGCGGCCUUCUGGACUGACACUGACGCUGAGGUGCGAAAGCGUGGGUAGCAAACAGGAUUAGAUACCCUAGUAGUC
rnacentral:rRNA from 1 species